AAAAUAUUAUAUCCUUCUCACUUCCCGCCUUCCUCACUUUUCCUCCGCGCCUUCCGUCUUCCGCGUCAUCUCUCUGUGGCCCAAUUUCUUCAUCACUGAUUCACUGUCACGACGAGUUCUUCACGAGGAUUGGGUUGGGGUGCUUGAAUUUGGAAAUGAUGCAGAUGAAGUUAGAAUUAGUUAAAGUCACAUGCUCUAAUUGAUUUAUCAGUUGAGGAAGCAAGAGCUUGUCACAUUUGCACAAUCAGCUGAAGAUGUGUUGCGAGCUGUGGAGGAGUCUGCAAAAAGAGAACUUAAUUGGUAGUUCAAUGCAGUCUUCUCUGGAGGCUGUCACUGACCAACCAUCAAAGCCUCCUCGUGAAAGAGUUAAGAUAGUUAUUUAUGUUCAGGAUAAGGAUGGGCUCAAGCAUUUUCGCAUGUACAUGGUAUAUCUUUGCGCUGGGAUUUUGGACUUAUUUACGGCUGAGAAAAUGGGUCUGCAGAAAAAUGGGUAUUCAGACAAAUGGGUAUUUGGAGCAACUUUUCAUGGUAGUUAAA